ACCUGUUACCCUCUAUUGCUAACGACCGCUUGGGAUCGAGCACUUUGAGGGGACUGCCCUGGAAACGGGGAGGAAGGUGCAGGCUACGGUAGGUCUGUAUGCUCCGAAUGGUCUAGGCUACACGCGCGCAACAAUGAUAGGGACAAUGGGAUGCCACUCCGAAAGAGAGCUAAGCCUCUAAACCCUAUCUUAGUACAGAUCGAGGCUUGUAACUCAGCCUCUGACGCUGGAAUCCCUAGUAAUCGGGUAUCAUCAUUGCCCGGUGAAUAU
rnacentral:rRNA from 1 species